rnacentral:rRNA from 1 species
AACGCGAAGAACCUUACCCACUUUUGCCAUCCCGGUAGAGGCCUUUAGAGAUAAGGGCUUCAUUUAGUUGGACCGGUGACAGGUGCUGCAUGGCUGUCGUCAGCUCGUGUCGUGAGAUGUUGGGUUAAGUCCCGCAACGAGCGCAACCCUCGUCUUAUGUUGCCAUCAGGUUAUGCUGGGCACUCAUAUGAGACUGCCGGUGAUAAGCCGGAGGAAGGUGGGGACGACGUCAAGUCAUCAUGGCCCUUACAGGUGGGGCUACAAACGUGCUACAAUGGGGGUGACAAUGGGCAGCUACACAGCAAUGUGAUGCUAAUCCCAAAAAGCUGUCUCAGUUCGGAUUGUCCUCUGCAACUCGAGGGCAUGAAGCUGGAAUCUCUAGUAAUCGCAUAUCAGCAUGUUGCGGUGAAUACGUUCCCGGGUCUUGUACACACCG